AGGUAGCGAAAUUCCUUGUCGGGUAAGUUCCGACCUGCACGAAUGGCGUAACGACUUCCCCGCUGUCUCCAACAUAGACUCAGUGAAAUUGAAUUGCCUGUCAAGAUGCAGGCUUCCCGCGGUUAGACGGAAAGACCCCGUGCACCUUUACUACAGCUUCACACUGGCAUUAGGCUAGCAAUGUGCAGAAUAGGUGGUAGGCUUUGAAGCGUAAACGCUAGUUUGCGUGGAGCCUUCUUUGAGAUACCACCCUUUGCUCGCUUGAUGUCUAACCGCGGUCCGUUAUCCGGAUCCGGGACCCUGUGUGGCGGGUAGUUUGACUGGGGCGGUCGCCUCCUAAAGCGUAACGGAGGCGCGCGAAGGUUGGCUCAGAGCGGUCGGAAAUCGCUCGUUGAGUGCAAUGGCAGAAGCCAGCCUGACUGCGAGACUGACAAGUCGAGCAGAGUCGAAAGACGGCCAUAGUGAUCCGGUGGUCCCGAGUGGAAGGGCCAUCGCUCAACGGAUAAAAGGUACGCCGGGGAUAACAGGCUGAUACUGCCCAAGAGUCCAUAUCGACGGCAGUGUUUGGCACCUCGAUGUCGGCUCAUCUCAUCCUGGGGCUGGAGCAGGUCCCAAGGGUACGGCUGUUCGCCGUUUAAAGAGGUACGUGAGCUGGGUUUAGAACGUCGUGAGACAGUUCGGUCCCUAUCUGCCGUGGGUGUAGGAUACUUGAGAGGAGUUGCCCCUAGUACGAGAGGACCGGGGUGAACGAUCCACUGGUGGACCAGUUGUCGACUACGGCAGUGCUGGGUAGCUAUGAUCGGACAGGAUAACCGCUGAAAGCAUCUAAGCGGGAAGCCCCCCUCAAAACAAGGUAUCCCUGAGGACCGAGGUAGACCACCUCGUCGAUAGGCCAGAGGUGUAAGCGUGGUAACACGUUCAGCUGACUGGUACUAAUGGUCCGAUAGGCUUGAUUUG
rnacentral:rRNA from 1 species